rnacentral:rRNA from 1 species
GACGAACGCUGGCGGCAUGCUUAACACAUGCAAGUCGAACGGAAAGGCCCUGCUUUUGUAGGGUGCUCGAGUGGCGAACGGGUGAGUCACACGUAAGUAACCUGCCCUUGACUUUGGGAUAUCUUCAGGAAACUGGGGCUAAUAACAGAUAAGUGCUCCUGAUGCAUUGUGAGGGAUGGAAAGUUUCGGCGGUUGUGGAUGGGCUCGUGGGUGAUCAGCUUGUUAGUGGGGUAGUGGCUUAGCAAGGCUUUGACGGGUAGCCGGCCUGAGAGGGUUACCGGCACAAUGAGGACAGAGCUACGGCCCGGAGUCGUACGGGAGGCAGCAGUGGGGGUUAGUGCAUGAUGCGGGGAAGCCUGAUGCAGCAACGCCGCGUGCGGGAUUGCGGCCUUCUGGUGUAAAACCGUUAUCGCCUGUUACUAAGAGUAGGUGACGGUAAUGUGUAAAUAAGCACCGGCUAACUACGUG